AUGUACAUUCCACAGUCCACUCAACGCUACGUCAACGUUCUGUCCAACGAGUCUGUCAUUAAAGGAGAGUCACUGAAGUUCAUUAUAGCUCCUCAGCAUUAUGUUGCCCUCUUGAUCUGAUUUGAAGGAAGACCCAUAUUUUUAUUAGUUUCAUACUGAAACUUUUUAUCAUAAAAGUAAAUUGGAAGUACUUGUAUAGUGAAAUCAAAGGACUGUAAGUAAAUGAUAGUGUCACUUUUGCACACCCCCCUCCCCCUUUAUCAAAGUCUCAGGUGCAAAUACAUGUUCGUAUACAUUACAUUUGUUUGUUCUUUUGUAGUAAACUUUAGAUAAGAUAGGUUUUCUACCAAUUUUUCAUAUUUGUUUGCACUCACUAGAAUUCCAAUCAGAAUGAUACAAAGAAAUUUUGCCUAACCAAAAUUUUCUUAAAUCAGUGUUGGGUAGGUAUGAUACAUUGUAACUUCUUUGAUGAAAAUAACGUUUGCUCAAACUUGCUGUUAAUAUUUUCUAGGGACAGUAAUAAAAGAACGAUUUGAAUGAGCAGUUUUAUGCUGAAAGGGCAGGACAAUGAAUGUCAUAUUUCUAGAUAAAGGGCAUUAAAUUCAAAUUAAAAGUCAUUAUUUUAAUCGGUCUGUAUUACUUUGCAAAGUAAACCUGAAUUAAAAAGUCAAGUAAAGAUGUUUAUGGGGAAGAUUUGCUGCCUUCACUACUAACUGUCCUUUGAUUCCAGUCUGUGAAUCUUGUACUUUGUGUCAGGUAACAAUUUCAAUGGUUGUGUCAGUAUUAUUUGUAUACAUACUUACAGUCUGAUCUUGAGGAAACAUGUCAAUUGAAUGGGUACAAUCCUUUAUUAACUUUCACGUUAAACAAUUCUUAUGCAAAAAUGUGUUUUUACAUUUUUUAUGUAAUGGUUCCUAUGUGUUAUUGUUAUAUGCAAAAUAUUAAAAGAUAAAAAUG
rnacentral:misc_RNA from 1 species